rnacentral:tRNA from 1 species
AUUUAAGUAGUUUAAUGAAAAAAUCUGAAUUUGUGGCGUUCAAGAUGUGAUAUUCACCUUAAAUA